rfam:Capsicum annuum cultivar Zunla-1 chromosome 5, whole genome shotgun sequence
AUAAUGGUUCUACUAAGAACCACUAAUUUUUAAAGAAAAGGAACA